GAAAAGAAACUCGAAAAUUAUGAGUAUUUAAUGUAUCUUCUGGCUGUAUGUGCAGAAUUUCAAAAUGAUCAAUAUCGACAGUUGUCAACGGAUGCUUAUGCAGCUAUUGGAAUUAUCUGUACGGAUGGAUUCAAAUCAUUGAUGUUCUUUAAAUUUUGUAACGGUGCUGCUAAAAUUCUUCACAGACUAGUAUAUAUAACUGAAGAAUCUUUGGGUUAUGGAAGUGGCGCUCGAAGAGCAUUUGGAAAAUGGUAGAGAAAUCGUCUUGAGACAGUUGAACCUAUAAUAAAACAAAAAAAAAAUGUCAUGGUUUAAGUCACAAAAAAAUAAUGGAUACAAUUUAUCUGGUAUCGAAGGACCUAAGUCAUAAAAUGUAUAUUGUGUAUAUUGUGUAUAUACAAAAGAAGAAUUUGGACCAAGAAUGUGGAAAGUAUGUCAGCAAAGAGGUUAAAUCAUCAAAGAAAUUUACCACUAUAUUAAAAACUAGUGCAUCAUAUGGAUAAUGCAAAAGAUAGUAAAUUGUUAAGAGAAAUAAAAUGGAGUAUAUUGGGAGAACACUUGAAAUUGAUAAUUCUAAAAAUGUUACAAAGUACAAAAGUUUUAAUUUCUUUUGUUCAGCAUUUACCACUGAGAAUAUUGUUAGAGAAUACUUACUGCUUUCAUAGACAUGUCUUAUAUAGAAAUUUAUUGGGUAAAUAAGGCUUAAUGGAAUUUAUAUUGCUCUUCAAAGAUCAUAUAGCAGUAAAUGAAUCUGGAAUACAUCCAAUAAAAAUGCAAUGUCCAUUGAACUUGUAUACCUAAUUCAAAAGGAUUAAAAAUGUUAUAUAUUGAACAUAAAUUAAUAACA